UCUCUCAGCUGUGUGUGUGUGUGUGUGUGUGUGUCUGUGUGUGUGUGUGUGUGUGUGUGUGUGGUGAAACAGUGGCUGCAAUUUUUUCAUCUAAUAUUUAUAUACUCUUCUCUUUAGACCUUUUUAAAUCAUUAACAUUUUGGAUUAGAUUUUUUUAGUGUGUGUGUGUGUGUGUGUGUGUGUUUUAUAUAAAUGUGUGUAUAGAUCACUGGUGUGUGUUGAUUAAAGUUCUUUAUGAUGAUUUUGUUGAUGUGAUUUUGUUUGCUAUGAAUAAAGAUUUGACACAAA